CUUAACCAUGCAAGUCGAACGGCAGCGCGGGGCAACUGGCGGCGAGUGGCGAACGGGUGAGUAAUAUAUCGGAACGUGCCAGUCGUGGGGGAUAACGUAGCGAAAGCUACGCUAAUACCGCAUACGAUCUAUGGAUGAAAGCGGGGGAUCGCAAGACCUCGCGCGAUUGGAGCGGCCGAUAUCAGAUUAGGUAGUUGGUGGGGUAAAGGCCCACCAAGCCGACGAUCUGUAGCUGGUCUGAGAGGACGACCAGACACACUGGGACUGAGACACGGCCCAGACUCCUACAGGAGGCAGCAGUGGGGAAUUUUGGACAAUGGGCGCAAGCCUGAUCCAGCAAUGCCGCGUGCAGGAUGAAGGGCCUUCGGGGUUAGUAAACUGCUUAAAGUACGGAACGAAAGGAGAGCUCUAAUACAGUUUGCUAAUGACGGUAACCGUAAGAAUAAGCACCGGAUAACUACGUGCCAGCAGACGAGGUCAAUACGUAGGGUGCAAGCGUAAUCGGAAUUACUGGGCGUAAAAGCGUG
rnacentral:rRNA from 1 species